rnacentral:rRNA from 1 species
AAAUUGAAGAGUUUGAUCAUGGCUCAGAUUGAACGCUGGCGGCAGGCCUAACACAUGCAAGUCGAACGGUAACAGGAAGCAGCUUGCUGCUUUGCUGACGAGUGGCGGACGGGUGAGUAAUGUCUGGGAAACUGCCUGGUGGAGGGGGAUAACAACGGGAAACGGUUGCUAAUACCGCAUAACGUCGCAAGACAAAAGAAGGGGACUUUCGGGUCUUCUGGCACCGGAAGUGCCCAGAAGGGAUUAGCUAGCAGGUGGGCAUACGACGCUCCCAAGCCACUAGCCCUAGCUGGU